rnacentral:misc_RNA from 1 species
GAUGAAGAACGGAGCGAAAUGCGAUAAGUAAUGUGAAUUGCAGAAUUCAGUGAAUCAUCGAAUCUUUGAACGCACAUUGCGCCCGCCAGUAUUCUGGCGGGCAUGCCUGUCCGAGCGUCAUUUCAACCAUCAAGCCCCGGGCUUGUGUUGGGGACCUGCGUCCGACGCAGGCCCUGAAAACCAGUGGCGGGCUCGCUGUCCACACCGAGCGUAGUAACUAACCUCGCUAUGGAGUGGCGCGGGCGCCUGCCGUAAAACCCCCAAUUUUUACAAGGUUGACCUCGGAUCAGGUAGGAAUACCCGCUGAACUUAAGCAUAUCAAUAAGCGGAGGA